rnacentral:rRNA from 1 species
GUAGGUGGCAAGCGUUGUCCGGAAUUAUUGGGCGUAAAGCGCGCGCAGGCGGUUCUUUAAGUCUGAUGUGAAAGCCCACGGCUCAACCGUGGAGGGUCAUUGGAAACUGGAGAACUUGAGUACAGAAGAGGAAAGCGGAAUUCCACGUGUAGCGGUGAAAUGCGUAGAGAUGUGGAGGAACACCAGUGGCGAAGGCGGCUUUCUGGUCUGUAACUGACGCUGAGGCGCGAAAGCGUGGGGAGCAAACAGGGAUUAGAUACCCUGGUAGUCCACGCCGUAAACGAUGAGUGCUAAGUGUUAGGGGGGUUUCCGCCCCCUUAGUGCUGCAGCUAACGCAUUAAGCACUCCGCCUGGGGAUACGGCCGCAAGGCUA